AUGGGCGGAAGGUGUAAGUGGUCAAACUAUGGGAAGGCUGCAGGAGAGAUUGAUCCAUGUAAUACUGUGCUAUGUUGUUUAUUUGUGGAGCUUCAAGUUGUGCACGGUUUGUGGUUCAUCAUAUCAUGGUUUCGACCAUUUCGUAGGUUCCCUGUUGCAUGGGCAUUUCUUCUGGGAUAGUACAAAUGGCUAUAUUCAUGCAGAAAGAAGUACCACUAGCGGUUACUGGAUUACUAAAUUUACUGGUUUGCUCCGUAUUCAUGUGGAUAUGACUGCAUUGAGUCAGAUGACAGAAAACAACCUCAAAGAUAUUAUAUAAGCACAUGGCUAAUGGGAUGGUUAGUGAUUAUUGUUUUACCACUGAAAUUUACUAUUGGUUAGUGGGAUGGUAGUUGUUUUAUUCUUACACUCUACUGGGGGCUGUGAUUUUGGAUAUGUGGUAAUAAGGCCUGGUAAUAAGGUUAGUGGGAUGACGUCCCUGAGCAUAUGGACAUUCAUGGAAUAAGCAGGAUGUGCUAACAGGGUAUUUUUUUCUCACUGAAAGUGUGUCUUGUGGUGGCUGGGUGUCUAGAGACUAGAGACACAUUUCUUGCAUGGUCGACUAAGAUGGAGUGGCAUGACAUGGUGGGAGUAGAUAUAAUUUCGAGAAUGACUAUGAAACUUGAUUUUUUGUGCAUGUUUAGCAGAUACUUCUAUUUUAUGUUGCGGCUAUAAUAUACUACCUCUGUCCAUUUUUAGAUGUCAAAAAUUUGUCUAAAUUCGAAUGUAUCUAGACAUUUUUUAGGCAUAGAUACAUCCAAAUUUAGACGAACCACUGGACAUCUAUUAAUGGACGGAGGGACUAUAUAUUAUGUCCACGAGAUAUGCGGUGCGGGGAGUCGCUGUUGCAGUACAUGGAAAAAUGAUCUUCCUUUACUUCAUGAUCGUGUAUUCUUUCCCAUGGAUCAUAAAUAGCUCGGGAUUUUCUCCCUUGCGCUCUGCUUUAUUCUUAUGCAGUUCUUCUCUAUUUUGUUGCGCCCUUUAUGUAAAUAUGUACAAAAUAUAUAAUCGUGAUCAGUUGCAGGUGUUUAGAGUAUUCAUGUUCACCAGGGAGCACAAGGAGUUGGGGAGGAAGGAUGAGCGCACGACCAUCCAUCAGCGAUGGCAAGCAGGGAAGGGGCAAGUUGGAGGCAAACAUCAAGUCGUUGGAGCAUAAUGUAGCUCGGAAAAUUACCACAAGAACUUGAGUUUGAGACCCUGAAGCAAACUAGGGGCUUUUUUCCAGCUAAAAACAAAAGGGAAAACCUAAAGGUAAAACAAGAAAGCUCCAGGACAUCAAGUGGUGGCCGAGGUGGAGUAGCAUCCCAGCUUCAGCUCGACUUGUACUGCUGAACCACGCACCUGAGGCUGUUCUUGAUCAUCUCUUUCGGCAGCAGGUCUCCAUCUCUUGCACUCAGAUUGUUCCAGCCAGGGUUCCAGAACGGAGUGAUGGGCGAAGCCACACAAGGCUUAGAGUUGCUUGCAGGUGUCGAUGGAGCAACGGGCUGCACCAGGAGCUGAUCCAGGAGAGAAGACGCCAGGGAAGCAAGAGAUAGUGAAGCCACAGGGAUCACACCCAAAGCAGCAAGGGGCUUUGGCCACCUGUAAGGCCUGCUGGGAGAAAGUGUUAUCUGUAGAAGCAUAGGCUCCUUCAGGAUUAAUCUCCAUUUCAUGAAGAUUUAUACUUAGGAGAAAAUUACGAGUUUCUCAGAUUUUGUACCACCAUGUAGAGGUCUUGCAUCGAAGAUACAUACUUAAAGAAAAUAACGACUUUCUCAGAUUUUGUAACACCAUGUAUAUAUCUGGAAAGGAGUUCUUCUAGAAAAUAAAUGCUAGAGUAUAUGCGCAUAGGUAGAUGAGUAGUACAUGAAGAAAAGCUUGCCUAGUGCAUUUAUACACUAACAUAGGUUGAAUUCACACGAAAUAAGAACCUUAACUUUUAUUUAUGGCAACUAGAAAAUCCAAAGCACAAGCUAUAUAAAUAAAUAUUACAAGAAAGCACAAAUGUUCUUUAUGUAUAAGGUAAGGCUCAUACAUUUUAUCCUUAGCUAAUAUGCUUCAGUGUCAUGAUGAAGGCAGCUUCUAAAGCCAUUGUACAUGGUCAUGAUCUUCCUUCCUUACUUACCCAUGGAUGUUAUUGAGAUUGUUUUUUGACCGGGACUACGACG